AUAAUAUUACUUAAAUACUACUUUCCUUACUGCCCCCCUCAAGAUGAGGAAGAUAGUGAGGAACCGAUUGCUGACCUACCCCUUGAAGCCUUUGAGGAUCCUGUGGAUCCAUGAACUUAUAUGAGUGCAUUAUUGUCUCGCACUUUGAUGAGUCCAUUUUUUGUAGAGACUUGUAAUUAAUUUUAUUUCUACCUCAGUAUUGUAUAGAACUCUAUUAUUAUUUUGU
rnacentral:lncRNA from 1 species